UAUAUUUUAAUGUAAGAUGCAUAAUAAUGUUUGAAAUUAUAAGAAAAAGUUUAAUUCUUUUAAAUAUAA
rnacentral:tRNA from 1 species